rnacentral:misc_RNA from 1 species
GUGCAUUCUGGGGUCAUUAUGGCUAUUGGUGGCUUGCCUGGCAAUUGAGCUAGGUGGGUGGCUGUUAGUUAUGUGGUUUCGGGGAUGUCUACCGUAAAGGUGCAUGAGUGGUAUUUGGUUUGUUACGGGUGGUUGGCUCUUUGCUUGCGCAACAACUUCCACCUGGCAUACCUCUUCAGUCUUGCGUCAAUGCUAAAUUGCAUUGCAUGCACAUCGGGUUUCUUGUGUUGCAUGCCUAACUGAUGGUAUCAUUUGAUGAAUUGAUGUCCUUUUUCGUCUUGUGUUGCACAUGCGAUGUGAGAUGAACCAUGAAGCAGCCUUUGUGAUCCACUCUUUCGAUGCACCUGCAUCGAUUUGGUGGCCCAUUGAGUGUUGCUUGGUCUCAUGGAUAUGGAACCUAGUGUGGGCAUGGGAUCUUACGAGUUCCUUGUUUGCCCUAGUUUAGCUUUUCUAAUACGAUUGUCUAUCACGUCUUGAUGUGGUAGGCUAUAUCGAUUAUGAAUGCUACCUGGUUGAUCCUGCCAGUAGUCAUAUGCUUGUCUCAAAGAUUAAGCCAU